ensembl:lncRNA
UGUAAGUCUCUUUUGUCUGGAGAUGAGGAUGUGCUGGGACCAGAGAGGAUGGAGGUCUGUGCGCCCUUCAUCCAGUUCCCUACCUUUCCGCCUUCACAGCGAUCUCCUCCAUUACCCCCAUCUUCCCUCAUCUCCGGACAGACUGAUCCUGAGGGUCCUGAGGAGCCUAAGCUGCAGGGAGUGAGGGGAGAAUGAUUCUUAAUCCUGCAAAUUGGAAUCAGUUUCUUCUAUAUCUUGCAUAUGCAACCACCCAUAGAGAUUUUUGCUGCAAAGGUCUUUAUCCUCAGGGAAGAAAAGAAAAGUGAGCCCAGCUGUUUGAUGCACAUGUACACCACCUGUGGCCCUCUCUCCUCCUAGAAGACGGAGGGUGAUGGUGUCUUCUCAUGUAUCCUUUUCAGUCUUUUACAUUUUCUUAUAGCUACUUUCCGUUUUUGUUUUGUUAUUCUUUCCAUAUAAAUUGAUUUUGUUUACCAAGUAUAUGUGUGUGUUUGUGUGUGUGUAUGUAUAAAGAGAUAGAUAGAUAUAGAUCUCUCUCUCCCUAUAAACACACACACAAAUAUUUAUAUAUAAUGUUUUUUUGGCUUGGUAUGAUUCAUGUUGCAUCAUUUCACAGAGAUCUUUCUCUGCUUCUCUAUACGCAACACACUCUUCAUUUCUUAUAACAAUAUUGUGAUAUUCCACAACAUUGGUUUCCAUGCCUUCUCUGGCCAUUACCCACUUGAGAGCAUCUACUUUGUUUCCAGGUCACAGCUGUCACAAAAAGUGCUGUUAUAAGUUUUUUGCUGUAUGUGGGGACUGUUUUCUUAUUGGUGCCUUCUCGUUAUGUAAUGGAUUAUUUGUUUUAAAGGCUUUGGAUAUUUUUGUUACUUUCUUUGCAUGAUUCCAAAAUUACAUCCCAGAAUGGAUGCUCUCCUAAUUUGCUUAUGGUUCUCCCUUCAUGUCUAAAUCGCCUACCCAUUUUGGUCUUACCUUGUUGUUGUCAUUGUGCUGUUCAUCCUUCUUUCUGGAAGAGGACCAAUGGCAUCUAGAAGCUCAUGACUUGCAAGUGAAUUGCAUUUAGGUGAGGCAGAGCUGGGCAAGGUCACCAGCCUCUCUCUGCUCCAGCGUCAGCUGAGCCCAGUGGCAAGACCUAGGUCAGGCAGACUGACCGUGGCACAGUAGGCAGCUGGAGACCUUUUUCUGUUUAAGCUAGGGCCCUUCCCUUGUCUCACUUGGUCCGAGGUAACAGUAAUUUAGUGAUUUAAGGCUCCUUAAGAAACGAGGCAAAAGAUGCCCUACUUUGCCUACUCAAUGAUAAUAACAACAACAAUAAUAAUAAUAAUAAUAAAAAUAACAAUGUGGGAAGGGAAGAACCUCAUUGUUUCUGCCCAGAAGAAACAACUGCCAUUUACACUCAGUCGGGGCCAUAAAACUCAAAUAAUGACCAAGUGGGGCUUAAGCUAGCAUCUACUAUUGAACACUCAGUGAAACCCAGAAUGAUUUGGGUUCCAGGAUUUGUCAAGUAGCUCCUUCUGAAUUCCAAUGGACUUCAUCAAAGUCUGGUUUUUCUAAGAAAUCCUACACGAACUGGAUGGAACAGAAGUGUUCAAUAUCGCAGUUUGUUUUGAAAAUAUAAAAUAACUAAGUGGCCACGAGACCAAAAUAUCUAGCCUCCAGACUCAAAGACAUGCUGUGAGGUUGAUGGGACCAAAUAACUAUUCCUUUGGACAAACAAGUGGCACAUGCUGUAAGGGGAUGAACUAUACCUAGUUUCUGCUAUACUGUUUUUCAGUUUUCCCUGGAAGUUUUUGCAUAUAGUAAAUUGUUUUCCAAAAAGAUGGGAUUUCUGUAUUUCUCAAACAGUAAAGUAUUAUGCACAUUUAAUACUGUGUCUUCUAUACCUAAAUCAUUCCACAAAAACACUAUCUAUUUCUUCUUUUUUUUUUUUUCAUUUUUUAAAAAAAAAGAAAAACAAAACAAUAGAAAAACAUUGUCAUAUGCACAAAAGAAUGUGAGAGGAUUUAAAAUAUAAAAUAAUAGAUUUCUAGUUCAAACAAUCAUGUAAUUAAUAGUACACAUUUUAUUCAGAACUGUCCAUCUAUUUUUUGCUUCCUCUUAG